GAUGAACGCUGGCGGCGUGCUUAACACAUGCAAGUCGAACGAUGAAGCCCAGCUUGCUGGGUGUAUUAGUUGCGAACGGGUGAGUAACACGUGAGUAACCUGCCCUUAACUCUGGGAUAAGCCUGGGAAACUGGGUCUAAUACCGGAUAGGAGCGUCCACCGCAUGGUGGGUGUUGGAAAGAUUUAUCGGUUUUGGAUGGACUCGCGGCCUAUCAGCUUGUUCGGGAGGUAAUGGCUCACCAAGGCGACGACGGGUAGCCGGCCUGAGAGGGUGACCGGCCACACUGGGACUGCGACACGGCCCAGACGCCUACGGGAGGCAGCAGUGGGGAAUAUUGCACAAUGGGCGCGAGCCUGAUGCAGAGGCGCCGCGUGAGGGAUGACGGCCUGCGGGUUGUAAACCUCUUUCAGUAGGGAAGAAGCGAAAGUGACGGUACCUGCAGAAGAAGCACCGGCUAACUACGUG
rnacentral:rRNA from 1 species